UACUCAGAAAUGCGCCCCACUAAUCCCUCUACUCUUGAAAAUGACCCAAUUUAGUCCCUCUACCCUUAAUUUCUUCUCAUCUAGUCCUACUUUUGAAAAAUACAGUCAAUAAUUGACCUAUUUUAGAGUAGAAGGGACUAAGUAGAAUCAUUUUCAAGAGUAGAGGGACUAUUUGGGAGCAUUUCUGAGUAGAGGAACCAAAAAGGAAGAGAGAGAAAAGUAGAGGGACUAAUUCGGGUAUUAUACCUUUCAAAACAGAUACCAGGAAUGUUAGACUAGUUUGGUUGGUGUACAUGGGAUGCUUUCUACACCGAUGUUAGUCCUCGUGGAAUUGAAGAUGGUCAUAAGAGGUGUACAUGCUUGUGAUGCUUUCUUUUCUGUUUACUGGCCAUCAACCGCGUUAUUACAUCAUUGCGGGCAUAAGUUUCACGAAGUUUUCCCACUAAAGCAAGAAUGCCCCUACACAAUCAUGGUUUAAUGUGAUGAAUGGGAUUCUUGAUGAAAGUACUGAGAGGAGGAAUGGAGAAAUCCCUCAUCGGGUUGCUUGUUUGUUGGGAAAAGUUGUGCUAGAGAUUGAGCGGCGUAUUUCAUCUCAGACAGAGCAUAUACAAAAUGUAAGAUAACCUCGGAUUGAAAACUCUCUCAUGUCUAGAACAUUUUUUAAUGUUUCCUGCAUGUUUGUAGCAAAAUACCCUCAUUUAAGCACGCGAAGAGAAAUAUCAAUCAAGAGUAAGAGCUCUUGAAAUUCCAGCAACUGGGACGAAUGAAGAAACUCAGGAGGAUUAUAUUCAUUCCAAAAGGUCCAAUGCAUGAAGGUCAAUCCUGAUUCACCUCAUAAGCACAUCCAGUUCUUAACACUUACAGGCAUUCGGCUGUGAGCUUCACGGGGCCCAUGCGCCCGUAUGGGUGCCUGUGAGGUUUGCUGAAAUUUCACAACUUUCGGUUACUGUAGCGGAAACACUGUAGCUGAGCAUUGUAGCACCGACACCUUUUCUGGGCGAAAUGACAGUGAGCUUCAUGGGCUCCGUGCGCCCGCAUGGAGCCCGUAUGGACUUGACGGGA